rnacentral:rRNA from 1 species
UCUGGGACAAGCCCUGGAAACGGGGUCUAAUACCGGAUAAUACUUCCACUCGCAUGGGUGGAGGUUAAAAGCUCCGGCGGUGAAGGAUGAGCCCGCGGCCUAUCAGCUUGUUGGUGAGGUAAUGGCUCACCAAGGCGACGACGGGUAGCCGGCCUGAGAGGGCGACCGGCCACACUGGGACUGAGACACGGCCCAGACUCCUACGGGAGGCAGCAGUGGGGAAUAUUGCACAAUGGGCGAAAGCCUGAUGCAGCGACGCCGCGUGAGGGAUGACGGCCUUCGGGUUGUAAACCUCUUUCAGCAGGGAAGAAGCGAAAGUGACGGUACCUGCAGAAGAAGCGCCGGCUAACUACGUGCCAGCAGCCGCGGUAAUACGUAGGGCGCAAGCGUUGUCCGGAAUUAUUGGGCGUAAAGAGCUCGUAGGCGGUCUGUCGCGUCGGAUGUGAAAGCCCGGGGCUUAACCCCGGGUCUGCAUUCGAUACGGGCAGACUAGAGUGUGGUAGGGGAGAUCGGAAUUCCUGGUGUAGCGGUGAAAUGCGCAGAUAUCAGGAGGAACACCGGUGGCGAAGGCGGAUCUCUGGGCCAUUACUGACGCUGAGGAGCGAAAGCGUGGGGAGCGAACAGGAUUAGAUACCCUGGUAGUCCACGCCGUAAACGGUGGGAACUAGGUGUUGGCGACAUUCCACGUCGUCGGUGCCGCAGCUAACGCAUUAAGUUCCCCGCCUGG